GUUUCACAGGUUUCUCUCCCUUCUGAGCAACGGCAGCCGGCCCCUCCAGACGAUGGCCAUUCCUGUUGCCUUGGUCCGCAGGAACGAUGGGUUAUGCAUGAACUUUGUAGAACAUGGCCUUGUCUUCACCAACGCGGAGGAGAGCCCGUUCGGUUCCAGAGAGGAUGCUGCCUCAUCUCGUCUCUAAAAGAGGAGGAAGGGGAGCAGGUCCCUUCACGUUCUCUGGUCUCAGCUGAGAACUCUCCCUGGAAGUAGCGGGCCGUGAAAUGUUUCACAAGUGACACCAGUGAUGCUGUUAAACAAGGACAAUCCGGUUCAUGGAUUGUGACAACGCACGCUGACAUCAAGCAGACCCUGCCGUCAGGUACAGAGGGCACCACAGUGACCAGGAACUGCUGUCCUUUCAUACCAGGUUUUAGGAGGCUUUACCAGAAGGAAUGGAAAAUGCUGGUGGGCAGUAAGAUUGAAACAGCAUCUGAGGACUGGUUCUGCACAAAACCUUAAAUUCUUCAAGGACUUUGACAUUUGUUUAUUCUUGUAACAAAUUAAAACCUAUCCUGUGUGUUGGUUAGAGAUCUUCAAACUGUAAAUACCUUGAGGCAGGAGUGAGGUUUUUAUCUUUUAAAGGACAGGCCCCUACUCUCCUACGUAAUGAGUUUCUAAAAAUGGAUGUGAGCACCAAUCAAUAUUUCUCUGGUUGUUAAAGUCAAGAAUAAAAUGGUAUUUUUAAGCUCG
rnacentral:lncRNA from 1 species